AAAACUCUAUUGUUCUUCCUUUGUUUUGUUUUUCCAGAAUUUUAUUAUCUUUUUGAUUUUCUAGAUCUCAGAUUUUUGAAUUUCAAACUGUUUCUCUCAAAAUUUUCAAACGUGUGUAAUUGAGUAUGUAUCCAGCUUUGUGAAGGAGUGAGAAGUGUAAAUGAGAGAGUAGGAGUGAGAGAGAGACAAUGAAUUCUAUGAAUGAG
rnacentral:lncRNA from 1 species